CCUAAUACAUGCAAGUCGAACGCACUCUCGUUUAGAUUGAAGGAGCUUGCUCCUGAUUGAUAAACAUUUGAGUGAGUGGCGGACGGGUGAGUAACACGUGGGUAGCCUGCCCUAAGUGGGGGAUAACAUUUGGAAACAGAUGCUAAUACCGCAUAAAACCUAACACCGCAUGGUGUAGGGUUGAAAGAUGGUUUCGGCUAUCACUUUAGGAUGGACCCCGCGGUGCAUUAGUUAGUUGGUGAGGUAAAGGCUCACCAAGACCGUGAUGCAUAGCCGACCUGAGAGGGUAAUCGGCCACACUGGGACUGAGACACGGCCCAGACUCCUACGGGAGGCAGCAGUAGGGAAUCUUCCACAAUGGACGAAAGUCUGAUGGAGCAACGCCGCGUGAGUGAAGAAGGUUUUCGGAUCGUAAAACUCUGUUGUUGGAGAAGAAUGUAUCUGAUAGUAACUGAUCAGGUAGUGACGGUAUCCAACCAGAAAGCCACGGCUAACUACGUG
rnacentral:rRNA from 1 species